rnacentral:snRNA from 1 species
CUUAUUUUUCGGUCUUUUGGCUAAGAUCAAGUGUAACAUUUGUUUUACCAGUUUAAUAUAUGGUAUAUGAACAAUAUGUUCACUUUGACAUUAAAUUCAUUUUAUGAUUA